GUCCUCAUAGCUCAGCAGGAUAGAGCGUAUGAUUCCUAAUCAUAAGGUCGGGAGUUCGAACCUCUCUGGGGACACCA
rnacentral:tRNA from 2 species